GACUGGCUUGAAGAAGCUUUUGAGAAACCCUCCAAUAGUAAAACUUCCAAAGUUAAGCGACCUGAUCUCCUCACAUCCGUUAUCUGGUGCUCUUCCUGCUGCAAUAUGUGAACCUCUAAAACACUCGAAGAAAGAAACAAUGAAGCUGCGUGGUGUGACGCUUUAUAAAGAAGGUUCAAAGCCAACUGGAGUCUGGCUUAUUUGUGACGGUAUUGUUAAGGUAAACCCAAAACUUAGUCAUAAUAUCGAAAGGUUCAUGAUCUCCUUCAUCACUGAAAGUUAUCAUGAUAAAUCAUAUUACAGUGGAAAUGCAAAAGCUUAGGCAACAAUCACUCGCUGCAUCCAACUUUCUCUCAUGGUAGUACAUUGGGACUCUACGAAGUCCUCACUGGGAAGCCAUACAUGUGCGACAUGGUUACAGAUUCUGUGGUUCUUUGCUUCUUUAUCAGUAGUGAUAGAAUACUAGCUUUUGUACAUUCGGAUUCUACCAUUGAAGAUUUCCUUUGGAAGGUACGUCUCUAUAUAAAUCCAUUAAAGAGAAACAUCCUCUCGUGAUUGUCAACUUCUUUCCUGUUUCUUCUUUCUCCAGGAAAGUGCAUUGGUGCUUCUCAAACUCCUGCGUCCUCAGAUAUUUGAAAAAGUGGCAAUGCAUGAACUACGAGCCCUUGUUUCAGCUGAAAGCUCAAAACUGACAACAUAUGUAUCUGGAGAAUCAAUCGACAUCGAUUACAACAGCGUCGGUUUGUUAUUAGAAGGAUUCAUAAAACCUGUUGGUAUCCAAGAAGAGCUUGUACCAUCUCCUGCUGCAUUGCUACCUUAUAACGAGAAUCAAAGCUUCCGUGACGCAUCAGAAGCGUCAGGUAAACAAAAAGUCAACACAGAAUACAAAGAAGAAUCAAACCCUCUUAUCAAAAACUGUGUGUUUGGUGUUUUGAUCACAGGUAUCAUGAGAGUUAGUUUCUCAAGACAAGCAACACAAUACAGUGUGGAGACAAGAGCAAGAGUAAUCAGCUUCAACACUGGAGCAUUUGGAGCUCAUAGGACUCUACAACGAAAACCAUCUUCGUUGUCAUCGCAAAUUGGGACAAGUUCCGAGCACCAGCUCCAGAGAUCAUCUAGUAAAGAACACAGAGGUCUCAUGAGCUGGCCUGAAAGUAUUUACAAAACUGAACAACAAGAAGAGAUCAAUAGAAAGGCGUUAAACUUAUCUGAACAAGCAAGACAACUUAGCAUUUUCGGCAGCAAGGUAAAAAAGAUAACACACUUUGAGAUGAGUUAUGAGAUUGUCAACUUCUCGACUAACAAGAAACGUUCUGAAUCAGGUUAAUCUGUUCACAAGGAGUGCAAGUUUCGGAGGGAUCAUCAACAACAAGCCACAAGAUAACGUAUUGUACAAGAAACAUCCAUUAGACGCAGCGAAAUCAGAAAGCUCCAUGGCCACCAGGGAGCAGGUUGAGACCAGGAAGUUUGUGUCUCAGCUUCCUGCACACGUAGCCUCAGCAGAGAGCAGCACAAGAAGAAAACCAAUGGCGGAGUCGAGCGAUGAUGAAGAGGAAGGAAUCAUUGUGAGGAUCGAUUCUCCGAGCACAAUCGUUUUCAGGAAUGAUAUGUGAGGGCAUUGAGAUGUUUUGUAACAUAAUAAAAAGAAGAAAAAUGUUAGCUUACAGAGUUAUUGUGCAAAAGAAUAAAAGGCAAAACAACAGACGCUGUUUUGAUGAAGGUUUGCUAGAAACAUUGACAAAUCCACAGACACCGAUCUUUUUGUAUGCGCUUAUAUAUUUCCAUGUUAUUUAUUCAACAUAUCAAGGUUUUUUUUUCUGUCAACUAACAAAUGGUGAGUAGAUGGGGUAAGUAAUGAAAGUCUAAAAGUUAUAUGGGUUGAGAACUAUAUUUUUAAAAAAUUAACGUAUUUAUAUACCCAUAAAUUAGGUACUAUAAAAUUGUAUUUAUUUAAAUUUAUUCAAAUUACCAAUCAUCAACAUGAGAUCAUAAUUAAGGAAAAUUUGAAACCAAAAAUAAUCAGAGCAGCAUGAAAGAAAAGGGUUUCAAAGGUAGCUUAAUUAGAGAUAAAAACAACAAAAUAUUAACUCAUUAAACUUUAUGAGCAAAUCUUGUUCUUGUUAGUCUUCUUUGUCUCCACAACCUUCUUCCAAUAUGCCGUAACUUCCCUCGUCGUCUCCUCCUCCGUCUUCUUAACACCUUUAGCUUUUCCAUUAGCCAUCUUGGCGUGAACCUUCGCCGGAAGUGUUUCUAGCUCGCGAAGAACCUUCUCAAAGUCUGCGACCAAUCUCUCAGCUAAGGUUCGAGAGAAAUCUUCUCGAAUCACCACUCGGAGGACGGUGACGUGUUCUGCAUCCGCGGGCAUCGUGUAGGCCGGAACGAUCCACCCGAAGCGGCGGAGAGUUUCGGCCACUUCGAACUCGUCGUGGCGGCUACUGUCUUUUAGAGAAAACGCCACUAAAGGAACACCGUUUUCUUUGGAGACAAUGUUGAAACGUCCCGUUUUCUCUAAUCCUUCUCUUAAGACCAUCAUGUUUUCGCGGCAAUUAUCCAUCACGUUACGAUAUCCCUAAACCCACAAAAAAUUAUCAAUCAAUAAUAUUACUUUACAAAGUUACGCAUGAUAAUAUAUUUUACUCACUUAUAUGUAGUUUUCAACAAGACCAGUUCAACAUUUUGGGGACUUUGAGACUACAAAAAGCUAUAUAUUUUAAAAAAGUUUUACUAAAUUUUCUCUUUUAAAAAUUUAGAAAUAAUAUUUUUGAACAUUUUAUAAUAUAUACACAAAAUAUCUUAAAAUUUCAACCUAAUAGUUAAAAAAAAAUAGUUGAAGAAGUUUUGGAGAUUUUAUCGGAAGAACAUCGGAUUAGACGCAGAAUGGUCGCACCACUUGUUCCCUCCUAAACCAGCACUGUUCAGUCAUUUUGAGUUACUAACCUCGAAUCCAAGACGAAUCAGCUGGUAGUACUGAGCAAUCACUUGACUCGAACCUAGUUUAUACAAGCAUUAACAAAUCAUUAGUUAUGCAUACAAUAUAUAAUAUUUUUAUACAAAUAUAGAAAUGGUAGUGUAAUAUGCUACCUUUGGAGAAGUUGAGAGUGAAGGUGGGUUGAUCAGCGCCGAGAUAAUUGAUGUGGAAGAUAAGUUCUUCCGGCAGAUCAGAUUUGGUUCUCCACACAACCCAACCGAUUCCGGCAUAAACCAAACCGUAUUUGUGACCACUGACAUUUAUGCUCUUAACCAAUGGUAACCGGAAGUCCCACUCCAGCUCCGGAUACAAGAACGGUGCAAUAAACCCACCACUCGCUGCAUCCACGUGAAUCCCCGUAUCCCAUCUGCGAAUUAAAGAAAAAAUUUUAAACCGGAAAUGAACCGGUUAAAAUCGAUUAAUUAAUAGCUACAUGUUAGUUCAAUUACCUGGUUAGCUUGUUUUUCUCGACUAGGAGGUCAUUGAGGAGCUUAACGUCUUCGAACUCUCCGGUUAGCCUCGAACCUAGAAUGGCUGCUACACAAAUGGUGUUCUCGUCUACCAUUUCGACUGCCUUUUCAGGGUCCAUCACGUAGUAUCCUUCUCUUAGCUUCACUUCCUUAAGCUCCACCUCGAAAUACCUUGCGAAUUUCUCCCAGCAAACCUAUAUUAAACCGGAUAUUAGUAAACCAUAGACCUUAACCGGAAAUAUCAUCUUUUGGUUUAAUAUUUCAAUUCUCUGGUUGGUUUAGCUCUGUAAUUUGCGAAAGAAAAAAAAGAGAACUAAGACUCCAUUAGAAUUUUCUGGUUUGGGGUUUCAGCUUGCGGUUUAGAUUUCUGUUUCAAGAUAGAGAAAUAAAGAGCUAAACCGGUUUAAUCUUGUGCUUUGUUACCUGAACAUUAGCUCCGGUUACGAUAUUGGGCUUAUCAUAAGGAAGCCCUUGGGCCUUACGCUUAUUCUGCCACUGUCUCUUAAAAGCCAACCCGGCCAACAUAAUCGCCUCCGACGAUCCCACGGUGCCGACACCAACCGCAGCCUCGCCGUCAUCGAGCGGCGCGUUAAAGAGACGCGCAAUCAUGUUGACGCAUCGGUUCUGAAGCUCGGUGGUGACAGGGUACUCGUCCAUGUCAACGUAGUUCUUGUUGAUGGAUUCCAUCAUGAGCUUGUCACACUCUGGCUCCAUCCACGUGGUUACGAAAGAGGCUAGGUUUAGCCUAGGGUUACCGUCGAGCAUUAGCUCAUCGUUGAUGAUCUGAUACGCUGCUUCCUUAGGGAUAGAGUUCUCAGGCAUCUCGAAUCUGAUGAUGAUGAAAACAUUAGGUUAAAAAUAUAAAAGCAUAUUAACGACGUGACAAGUCAUGCAAUGAAACGUUACUAUUAGUUUCAUGCAAUAUUUCAUAGCUCAUAUUCUCACCGUGGGAGAGAGUUGCGGACGUAACGAGAAGCAAAAGUUGAAUGGAUUGAAACAUCAGUUUCAGAAGCUGUCUUAGACAAAACCAUCUUCUUUCAAUUCACUCGAAUUGUCUAUGCAAACUUUGAAUGAUAUAUGGGUUUGUAAUGUUUAUGUUUGUAGUUGAAGAAUGUGUGGAAUGAGAAGACGAUAAACAAAUGGUUUAUAUAGUGGAAGAGAGUGGUUCAUUUCGUUUCGUUUUGCGACGUGAGAGGAAGCAUCUAUGGUCUUCGUUUAUGGGCUCCUUUGUAACUUUUCUCCUACCGAUGACUUUUCAUUAAUAUAUAAUAUCAAAGACCAACGAAUCAUUGCUUUCAAAAACUGCAUGAGUAUUAUAAUUAAAUAAAAUAAUAACAGUUGACCGUUAAAAGAAACUUUAAUCUAGUGAUUUAGAGAUUUCUACUAUCAUAUUUCAAUUCACUACAAGAAAACAUCAAGGAUUCUGAGGGAAAAAAUCGUCGGAAUUUCGUCGGAAUAUCGUUAUUCCGACGCAAUUCCGACGAAAUACGUCGUCGGAAAUAAUUCCUCGGAAUUUCUUUUUUCCUCUGAAAUCCCUCGGAAUUUUCCGACGGAAUUCCGAGGAAAUAAAUUUCCGAGGAAAUUCCGAGGAUCCCUUGUUUGUCGGAAAAGUCCUCGGAAUAUACCGAGGUAGAACUUCGUCGGGAUAAUUCCUCGGAAGUUCAUCGAUCGAUGCGUGUUUGGACAUAUAUACAUCGAUCGAUAGGAGUAUACCGACGGACUUUUUCCUCGGUUUAUUCCGAGGAACUGUAUGGUCUGGUUUGAGGGGUGCAGUGGCGCUCUCACUUUCUUUAUCUGUGAAGGUUAGUUUUCAAGAACAUUGUCAAUCUUGUUCUUGUGUCUCUUGAAUUUAUUUUGCCACAUUGCUUCAGUCUUGAAUUAACUUAUUCUUAAUCAUUUGAUUCAGCAAUCAAGCGGAAAUUCAUUUCUCAGCAGGGAGACAGGAACAUUGGUAAGUUCAGAAAAUUGUCUGCAAGGUGUUAUGCCUAAAUGAAUUAUAGAAGACUUAUCUUUUCGGUCUCUUGAUAUUCUCAGUUCUUUUGCAGUUUAUUUUCUUCACAGGUGGAAUUGUGUUUCUAACUCUGAUAGUUAAUGGUUCCACUACCCAAUUUGCUCUGCGCCUUCUUCGAAUGGACGGUUUACCAGCCACAAAGGUCAUAAUCUUUUCACAGACUUCAUUUCCAACUUAAGUAUGAAAUGCUUAAACCCUUUUAUUUAUUCGAAAUUCUCCUUUUUUCUUGUUGACAGCUACGAAUCUUGGAUUAUACAAAGUAUGAAAUGCUGAAUAAGGCCUUACAAGCGUUUGAAGAUCUAGGAGACGAUGAAGAGCUAGGACCUGCUGACUGGCCUACAGUUGAAAAAUAUAUUUCAAGCUUAAAAGAUUCAGAAGGGGAACAAGUUCAUCCUCACAGUGGCUCUAAGACUGGAAAUCUUGACAGUACGAGUUUAAAGGACAUACGUAUACGAUUCUUAAAUGGUAACUAUCAUGUCAUUUUCGAACCAAUUACACUAUCCCAUUAGUCAAAUUAUUUACCCUUAGUUCAAUCAUCAGGUGUUCAGGCAGCUUACUGGGAGAUGCUUGAUGAGGGAAGAAUAUCUGAAAGUACAGCUAAUAUAUUGAUGCGGUCAGUGGAUGAGGCCUUGGAUCGGGUUUCUACGGAGUCUUUAUGUGACUGGAGAGGUCUAAAAGAGCAUGUUAAGUUCCCCGGUUACUACAAUUUUCUUCAUUCUAAACUUAUCCCAGGGAAGUUGGUCAUAUACUUUGCUGUUGAAAGACUCGAAUCUGCAUGCUACAUUUCCGCUGCAUUUCUUCGCGCACAUACAAUUGCGAGGCAGCAACUGUAUGAUUUUAUAGGUAUGUAUGACUGGACCAUCUUUGUUGAUCUAUCAGAGAUAUUGUUUGCAAGUACCCUACUUUUGUCUCUUAGUUAUCUUUCUUCUUUAUACAGGGGAGAGUAGUAUCGGCUCUACUGUAAUCAAGGAGAGUGAAACCGAAGGAGCAGAAGCUAAAGAGUUUUUGGAAAAAGUUCGAUCUUCACUUCCUCAGGUUGAUAGUCGUGUCACUUAUUUAUGGUGAUUUAUCUUUCUCGCGAUGAACCACAUAUAAUCUUUGAUCAACUUGGUGUGUAGGUUCUCCGUGUUGUGAAAACGAAACAAGUAACAUAUUCAGUGCUGAAUCAUUUACUCGAAUACAUUCAAAACCUUGAGAAGAUUGGCUUGUUGGAAGAAAAAGAAAUCGCUCAUCUUCAUGAUGCUGUCCAGGUACCAAAUGAAAGAAUCAUAUUCUUUCAACACAUGGUCAUGUCUCUUUUUUCUAAUUUUACCUCUCUCUCUCUCUCUCUCUCUCUCUCUCUUUGCGCAGACUGGCUUGAAGAAGCUUUUGAGAAACCCUCCAAUAGUAAAACUUCCAAAGUUAAGCGACCUGAUCUCCUCACAUCCGUUAUCUGGUGCUCUUCCUGCUGCAAUAUGUGAACCUCUAAAACACUCGAAGAAAGAAACAAUGAAGCUGCGUGGUGUGACGCUUUAUAAAGAAGGUUCAAAGCCAACUGGAGUCUGGCUUAUUUGUGACGGUAUUGUUAAGGUAAACCCAAAACU
rnacentral:lncRNA from 1 species